CGCCCAUUAGCUAGCCCUCCCCCAAAAAUCAACACAUCCUCAUUAAUAACCCCUAACGCACCCGCAUUAAACCAAACAAAUCAUUUUUCCCCCCUAGUAUGGGCGACAGAAAAGGAACUAUGGAGCAACAGAGAAAGUACCGCAAGGGAAAGCUGAAAGAGAAAUGAAAUAACCCAGUAAAGCUUAAAAAAGCAGAGAUUUAUACUUGUACCUUUUGCAUCAUGAUUUAGCCAGUAACCCCAAGCGAAGAGAACUUUAGUUUGGUCCCCCGAAACUAAGUGAGCUACUCCAAGACAGCCUAUUAUAGGGCGAACCCGUCUCUGUGGCAAAAGAGUGGGAAGAGCUUCGAGUAGAGGUGAUAAAUCUACCGAACUUAGUGAUAGCUGGUUGUCUGAGAAAUGGAUAAGAGUUCAGCCUUUCGGUUUCUCAUCUCAAUUUUUGUUUUUACUCCAAUUAGAACCCAAAGAAACCAAAAGAGUUAAUCUAAGGGGGUACAGCCCCUCAGAUAAAGGACACAACCUUCACAGGAGGGUAAAGAUCACAUUCAACCCAAGGUAAAGUACCCCGGUGGGCUUAAAAGCAGCCAUCCAUUCAGAAAGCGUUAAAGCUCAGGUACACCCAACCUUCCAUCGAUCCCGAUAGCACAAUCUCAUCCCCCUUUCAAUAUCAGACUAUCCACUGCAAACAGUGGAGAAAUAAUGCUAAUAUGAGUAAUAAGAGAAAACAAAAUUCUCUCCCUGCACAAGUGUACCUCGGAACGGACCAACCACCGAACUUUAACGACCCCAAACAAAGAGGGAAAUGGAUUACAAACAAAAUAACUAGAAAAGUAUCCAAAACAAGCUCGUUAACCCCACACUGGUGUGCUAUCCGGGAAAGACUAAAAGGAGGGGAAGGAACUCGGCAAACACUUAAAGCCUCGCCUGUUUACCAAAAACAUCGCCUCUUGCAAGACCAAUGAAUAAGAGGUCCCGCCUGCCCUGUGACUAUAUGUUUAACGGCCGCGGUAUUUUGACCGUGCGAAGGUAGCGCAAUCACUUGUCUUUUAAAUGAAGACCUGUAUGAAUGGCAUCACGAGGGCUUAGCUGUCUCCCUCUCCCAGUCAAUGAAAUUGAUCUCCCCGUGCAGAAGCGGGGAUAAAGACAUAAGACGAGAAGACCCUAUGGAGCUUAAGGCGCCAGAACAGCUCACGUCAAACACCCCCGCAUAAAGGGAAUAAACCAAGUGAACCCUGCUCUAGUGUCUUUGGUUGGGGCGACCGCGGGGAAAAAUUAAACCCCCAUGUGGAACAGGAACACUAUAUUCCUUAAUCCAAGAGCUCCCGCUCUAAUAAACAGAACUUCUGACCAACAAGAUCCGGCAACGCCGAUCAACGGACCGAGUUACCCUAGGGAUAACAGCGCAAUCCCCUUAAAGAGCCCUUAUCGACAAGGGGGUUUACGACCUCGAUGUUGGAUCAGGACAUCCUAAUGGUGCAGCCGCUAUUAAGGGUUCGUUUGUUCAACGAUUAAAGUCCUACGUGAUCUGAGUUCAGACCGGAGUAAUCCAGGUCAGUUUCUAUCUAUGAAGUGAUCUUUUCUAGUACGAAAGGACCGAAAAGAGAGGGCCCCUGCCUAACGGCAUGCCUUACCCCCACCUACUGAAAACAACUAAAGUUGGCAAGGAGGCACACCCCGCCCGCCUAAGAGAACGGCUA
rnacentral:rRNA from 1 species